AUUGAACGCUGGCGGCAGGCCUAACACAUGCAAGUCGAGCGGAUGAAGGGAGCUUGCUCCUGGAUUCAGCGGCGGACGGGUGAGUAAUGCCUAGGAAUCUGCCUGGUAGUGGGGGAUAACGUCCGGAAACGGGCGCUAAUACCGCAUACGUCCUGAGGGAGAAAGUGGGGGAUCUUCGGACCUCACGCUAUCAGAGGAGACUAGGUCGGAUUAGCUAGUUGGUGGGGUAAAGGCCGCCCAAGGCGACGAUCCGUAACUGGUCUGAGAGGAUGAUCAGUCACCCUGUACCUUCGCCACUGUCCAGCCUCCUCCGUGAGGCAGCCUUGUCGCAUCUUGGCCAAUGGGCGCACGCCUGCUCCAGCCAUGCCGCGUGUGUGAAGACGGUCUUCGGAUUGUACAGCACUUUAAGUUGGGAGGAAGGGCAGUAAGUUAAUACCUUGCUGUUUUGCCGUUCCCACCAGAAUACGCACCGGCUAACUUCGUG
rnacentral:rRNA from 1 species